AUUGAACGCUGGCGGCAGGCCUAACACAUGCAAGUCGAACGAGAGGCGGACGGGUGAGUAAUGUCUGGGAAACUGCCCGAUGGAGGGGGAUAACUACUGGAAACGGUAGCUAAUACCGCAUACUAUCGGAUGUGCCCAUAUGGGAUUAGCUAGUAGGUGGGGUAAAGGCUCACCUAGGCGACGAUCCCUAGCUGGUCUGAGAGGAUGACCAGCCAAAUUGGAAAUGAGACACGCUCCCGACUCCUACGGGAGGCAGAAGUGGGGAAUAUUGCACAAUGGGCGCAAGCCUGAUGCAGCCAUGCCGCGUGUAUGAAGAAGGCCUUCGGGUUGUAAAGUACUUUCAGCGGGGAGGCGUUACCCGCAGAAGAAGCACCGGCUAACUCCGUGCCAGCAGCCGCGGUAAUAC
rnacentral:rRNA from 1 species